rnacentral:rRNA from 1 species
CUGGCCUCAGGUUCGGGACAACCACUGGAAACGGUGGCUAAUACCGAAUGUGCCCAAGGGUGAAAGAUUAAUCGCCUGGGGAUGAGCUCGCGUCUGAUUAGCUAGUUGGUGGGGUAAAGGCCCACCAAGGCGUCGAUCAGUAGCUGGUCUGAGAGGAUGAGCAGCCACACUGGGACUGAGACACGGCCCAGACUCCUACGGGAGGCAGCAGUGGGGAAUUUUCCGCAAUGGGCGAAAGCCUGACGGAGCAAUACCGCGUGAGGGAGGAAGGCUCUUGGGUUGUAAACCUCUUUUAUCAGGGAAGAAAAAAAUGACGGUACCUGAGGAAUAAGCAUCGGCUAACUCCGUGCCAGCAGCCGCGGUAAUACGGAGGAUGCAAGCGUUAUCCGGAAUGAUUGGGCGUAAAGCGUCCGCAGGUGGCAGUUCAAGUCUGCUGUUAAAGACUGGGGCUUAACCCUGGAAAGGCAGUGGAAACUGAACAGCUAGAGUGCGGUGGGGGCAGAGGGAAUUCCUGGUGUAGCGGUGAAAUGCGUAGAGAUCAGGAAGAACACCGGUGGCGAAAGCGCUCUGCUAGGCCGCAACUGACACUCAGGGACGAAAGCUAGGG